rnacentral:misc_RNA from 1 species
GAAAUGCGAUAAGUAAUGUGAAUUGCAGAAUUCAGUGAAUCAUCGAAUCUUUGAACGCACAUUGCGCCCGCCAGCACUCUGGCGGGCAUGCCUGUUCGAGCGUCAUUUCAACCCUCAGAACCCCUUGCGGGAUCUGGCGUUGGGGAUUGGCAUCCAGCCAGCCCCGAAAUCUAGUGGCGGUCCCUCCGCGACCUCCCCUGUGCAGUAGCGAUACCUCGCAGCGGGACAGCGGUCUGACCACGCCGUAAAACCCCCAACUUCUCAAGGUUGACCUCGAAUCAGGUAGGAAUACCGGCUGAACUUAAGC